rnacentral:rRNA from 1 species
GACGAACGCUGGCGGCGUGCUUAACACAUGCAAGUCGAACGGAAAGGCCCUGCUUUUGUGGGGUGCUCGAGUGGCGAACGGGUGAGUAACACGUGAGUAACCUGCCCUUGACUUUGGGAUAACUUCAGGAAACUGGGGCUAAUACCGGAUAGGAGCUCCUGCUGCAUGGUGGGGGUUGGAAAGUUUCGGCGGUUGGGGAUGGACUCGCGGCUUAUCAGCUUGUUUGUGGGGUAGUGGCUUACCAAGGCUUUGACGGGUAGCCGGCCUGAGAAGGUGACCGGAAAAAUUGGGACUGAGAUAAGGCCCAGAGUGCAACGGGAGGCAGCAGUGGGGAAUAUUGCACAAUGGGCGGAAGCCUGAUGCAGAAACGCCGCGUGCGGGAUGACGGCCUUCGGGUUGUAAACAGCUUUAGCAUGUGACGAAGCGUGAGUGACGGUAAUGGGUAAAGAAGCACCGGCUAACUACGUG